UGUAAGCGUAUACCAAAGUUGUUGCAGUUAAAACGCUCGUAGUCGGAAUUUGGCAGUUCCGGAUGUGUGCACGUCGUGUGCGCACUUCGCGGGGAUUGCUUUUGUGGUCUUGCGUAGGAUGAGGCACUUUUAUUAGUGAACGUCCUCACGCAACCACUUUUUACUGUGAGAAAAUCAGAGUGCUCAAAGCAGGCAUUUGCCGUGAAUGUAUUAGCAUGGAAUAAUAGAAUAGGAAUUGGUUCUAUUUUGUUGGUUUGUUGGGACUGAGUAAUGAUUAAGAGGGACAGUUGGGGGCAUUUGUAUUUCGGUGCUAGAGGUGAAAUUCUUAGAUUACCGAAAGACAAACUGCUGCGAAAGCGUCUGCCAAGGAUGUUUUCAUUGA
rnacentral:rRNA from 1 species